UUUUUCAAAAAAAAUCAUAAAAUAAAUAUCCUACCUUUAUUUUUUCAGAUAAAUACAAAAAUAAAUUUCCUACCUUUACUUUUUCAGAUAAAUACAAAAAUAAAUUUUGACUUCGUAAAACAAAUGCCUCAUAAUCUUCAACCCCAAUUAGCCAAAUAAAACUAAUAACUAUAUUAAAAAAUAAAAAAGUCAUUUAACUCCACUUAACCAUUUAAUCACACAUAUUAACUCUCUAUUUAAACAAAAU
rnacentral:lncRNA from 1 species